UACGAGUUGUGCAAACGUUAUUCGGAAUCACUGGGCUUAAAGGGUGCGUAGGCGGCUAUGAAAGUCAGAUGUGAAAUCCCUCGGCUCAACCGAGGAACUGCACUUGAAACUUCAUAGCUUGAGGGAGACAGAGGUGAGCGGAACUGAUGGUGGAGCGGUGAAAUGCGUUGAUAUCAUCAGGAACACCGGUGGCGAAGGCGGCUCACUGGGUCUUUUCUGACGCUGAGGCACGAAAGCCAGGGGAGCAAACGGG
rnacentral:rRNA from 1 species